GUACUUCAACCGUUUACGUACUCUUAAUUCGAACAUUAGAACUUGCAAUUGUUUUUAUUUUUAAAUUAAACUGUAUGAGACUACAUAAACUAAAA